rnacentral:tRNA from 1 species
GCGCCGGCGGUGUAAGACAUAGCAUCGCUGCCCAAAAAGCAGAAGGUGCGGGUUCGAGUCCCGCCUGGCGCA